AGCGGCGGACGGGUGAGUAACGCGUGGGUAACCUGCCUUACACAGGGGGAUAACAGUUAGAAAUGACUGCUAAUACCGCAUAACCCGCUAGGGCCGCAUGGCCCGGACGGAAAAGAUUUUAUCGGUGUAAGAUGGACCCGCGUCUGAUUAGCUGGUUGGUGAGGUAACGGCUCACCAAGGCGACGAUCAGUAGCCGACCUGAGAGGGUGAUCGGCCACAUUGGGACUGAGACACGGCCCAAACUCCUACGGAAGGCAGCAG
rnacentral:rRNA from 1 species